rnacentral:rRNA from 1 species
CGGCCACAUUGGAACUGAGACACGGUCCAAACUCCUACGGGAGGCAGCAGUGGGGAAUAUUGCACAAUGGGCGAAAGCCUGAUGCAGCAACGCCGCGUGAGUGAUGAAGGCCUUCGGGUCGUAAAACUCUGUCCUCAAGGAAGAUAAUGACGGUACUUGAGGAGGAAGCCCCGGCUAACUACGUGCCAGCAGCCGCGGUAAUACGUAGGGGGCUAGCGUUAUCCGGAUUUACUGGGCGUAAAGGGUGCGUAGGCGGUCUUUCAAGUCAGGAGUGAAAGGCUACGGCUCAACCGUAGUAAGCUCUUGAAACUGGGAGACUUGAGUGCAGGAGAGGAGAGUGGAAUUCCUAGUGUAGCGGUGAAAUGCGUAGAUAUUAGGAGGAACACCAGUUGCGAAGGCGGCUCUCUGGACUGUAACUGACGCUGAGGCACGAAAGCGUGGGGAGCAAACAGGAUUAGAUACCCUGGUAGUCCACGCUGUAAACGAUGAGUACUAGGUGUCGGGGGUUACCCCC